rfam:OM182 bacterium BACL3 MAG-120619-bin32 contig11927_1_120619-bin32, whole genome shotgun sequence.
AGCCCAGAACCCACUCUAAAAAACGGGGCGUAUCCGAAAAGCCUUAUGAGUAGGAAAAAA